AACGAACGCUGGCGGCAUGCCUAACACAUGCAAGUCGAACGAGAUCCUUCGGGGUCUAGUGGCGCACGGGUGCGUAACGCGUGGGAAUCUGCCCUUAGGUUCGGAAUAACAUUUAGAAAUGACUGCUAAUACCGGGGGAUGACGUGAAGUCCAAAGAUUUGUCGCCUGAGGAUGUGCCCGCGUAGGAUUAGCUUGUUGGUGUGGUAACGGCGCACCAAGGCGACGAUCCUUAGCUGGUCUGAGAGGAUGAUCAGCCACACUGGGACUGAGACACGGCCCAGACUCCUAAGGGAGGCCGCAGUGGGGAAUAUUGGAGAAUGGGCGCAAGGCUGAUGCAGACAUGCCGCGUGAGUGAUGAAGGCCUUAGGGUUGUAAAGCUCUUUUACCCGAGAUGAUAAUGACAGUAGCGGGAGAAUAAGCCCCGGCUAACUACGUG
rnacentral:rRNA from 1 species